rnacentral:rRNA from 1 species
CGGAACUAACAGAUUUACUUCGGUAAUGACGUUAGGAAAGCGAGCGGCGGAUGGGUGAGUAACACGUGGGGAAUCUGCCCCAUAGUCUGGGAUACCACUUGGAAACAGGUGCUAAUACCGGAUAAGAAAGCAGAUCGCAUGAUCAGCUUUUAAAAGGCGGCGUAAGCUGUCGCUAUGGGAUGGCCCCGCGGUGCAUUAGCUAGUUGGUAAGGUAAAGGCUUACCAAGGCGAUGAUGCAUAGCCGAGUUGAGAGACUGAUCGGCCACAUUGGGACUGAGACACGGCCCAAACUCCUACGGGAGGCAGCAGUAGGGGAUCUUCCACAAUGGACGCAAGUCUGAUGGAGCAACGCCGCGUGAGUGAAGAAGGUUUUCGGAUCGUAAAGCUCUGUUGUUGGUGAAGAAGGAU